UUUGUCCUGGUAUUCAGCCGUCUCGGUAACCAUGAGGUAUGUAUAUGAAAAGGGGGCGUACAAGGCGUUUUAAUGCGAAAUAUCUUUAAAUUUUCAUCAAAGAAAUGUUCAUGGAAAAGAUAUAAUUUCCGAAAAUUUGUUGUUAAUCAAAUCAACAUUAACAAUUUUGAUUCAUUUUUAUUGAUUUACUUAUUGACUGAUUUUAUCUUGUUUUUUAAAGCAAUUUCAGCUUAGCAAAUUUUGCGGUGAAUGUUUCAAAUAUGAAUGGUUGAAGUCUCUAUUAUACAUAAAGGAUUUGAUUGACUCGAAAAUAAAAAAAAAUAUAUUAUAAUUCUUAAAAUUGAGUUUUAUCCAAUUCUAUAUGAAAAUUGAACAUUUCGAGGGAAAAUGAUACAUGUAUGCCCCAACAAACACUUUUAUUUGAAAUCCACCUGACACACGUAAACGAUAAGAAGACAUAAUGGCGAAGAGCUAACUGCUUGCAAAAUUAAGUCUUUCCACGAUAUCUUGGCAUGCAGAGUACAAGUCAUAUGCAUAUGUGAGGUAAUUUUUUUUUAUUAAUUUAAGUGAAAGGUAAGUCUAGUCGGUGGUUCAAUAUAAUAAAGGAACCAAAUCUGUAAAUUAAAAUAUGAUAUAAACAGCAACAUUUUACUUUUAUAAACUUUCAAAAUUGAGAAAGGUCCUAGAGCAGGAGAAUAUUCUCACCACUUGUACUCUUUCAUGACAUUUUUCAAUUCUUCUAGUGUCGAAGCAAGUUAUCAAUAUCUGACAUCAUGAAACAAACAUUAAUUUUUGAACUCCCCUAAUCAAAGUUUGUGCCGACUCAACUGUUGGAAAAACAAAUCCAUGCAUAAACUUAGCAACAAAGAAAAUCAGUUAGGAACAGACGUGGUUGUCAGUCCUUAUUAUACCAGAGAACUGAUGUAUGAUUUACUUCAAGUAUGUUAAAACCCUUUUCCCCCCUAUUUUUACUAAAUAAAUGCUUGCUUAAUGAAAUUUAAAGAGAAUUGUUUCCGAUCAUGAUGAGGGGCAAACGGCGGACGUCACCGGUUGGAGAAGGAAUUUUUAUUCCUCCAUGUCACCUGAUCCCUCCUCUGAAGUUUUAAGAGGCCUACAAGGGUUUUUUUGUCUCUCUUUGCCGCUGAAUAGAAUCCUGAAUGCCAUCUGGAAAUACAUGUAUUCGAUACACAAGAACAUGCUCUACGUAUGAACAAUUUCUAAAAUGAGAUUGCCAGAAUCAAAGGAUUGCAUUCAGCAGCCUCAGACGACACACCUCAAAAAACCUGUGUGAGC